UAUAUUACACAUUUUACAAAGUUUAAAAUUUUUAAAGUUCAAAUAUUUAUAAUAUUUGAAACUUCAUAUAAGUUUGAACAUAAUAAAUAUUUUGAAAUUUUUUACUAUCUUUAAUUUAUUAAAUAAAUAACGUGAGUAAACUGGAUAACACUUUUAAUUUUGUGACAAAAAGACAUUACUGAUCGACGUUUCUUGUAAUAAAAUAAAAAAUGUCUUGUUUUCAUAUAUUUUAAGUUGAUGUCUCAUGCUUCUAGUCACUGUCUGAAAAAAAUUAGCCUGUUUUUAUUUAUAUGAAUUUAAUAGAAUCUAACGGUAAUUUAAUUCCUUAUAAAACUCUAUCAUAAUCGUUGUAAAUUUAAAAUAUAAAAAUAAAAUAAUUUGAAAAAAAUAGUAAAACAUAAGCAAAAAUUAAGCAAAAAUAUGUAUAUAAAAUAAUCAUAUGAUUAGUAGUGGAACUCAUUACCAACUUCACUGUUAAUCAUAUUCAAAAUCUACCAUAUUCAUCAACAAUAUAAACGAAUAAUCCAUUGGUGAUUCAUCAACCAUCUCUAGACUCUAGAUUACGCAUCAUUCGUUGAUAAUGCAAGCGAAAUAAAUUUAUAAUAGGCUAGACAGAAGAUUACAAGACUUUAUUCAAAUCUGAAUCUAUUAAAAACCAAAAACUUCUUCUAACGUUAAACAUUUCGAUCUUGUAGAUCCAAACCAAUAAAGCAUGUAUUACUCUAUUUAGUUGUUCAAAUAACUGCACCUUCAACAAUAAUGACCCAUAUUUUUAUUUUUAUUUUUAUUUUUAAUAAUGAUCCAUAUACCAACCCUAUUUUCCAUAUAAAUUAAACCACUAGGAAUCACUCGAAAAUAAAUGAUUGAUAUGUCGAAGGAAGAACCACUCGAAAAUAAAGGUUUUCAUUCGUUGAGUAACCUUUCAAAUGUAAGUUAUUACAAACACGUUAUUGGAAAUUAUUAUAAUUAGCAUAGAAUUUUUAUUAUAUUAACAAUAAAUCAACUUCUUUA
rnacentral:sRNA from 1 species